GCGUUUGGUAUACUACUUCUGAUGAAUCGAGUUCGUUGGCCGUUACGAAUUCUCCGUGUUCACUUGAUCUCUGAUGUCGUGUGCUUAAUAAACACUUAUUGCCUCGAUCCGAACAAUGCCGUCAACCAUUGCAUGGUUGACCGUCAAUGGUAUUGCAUUCCCAGAGAAAAACACUUAUGAGUAAGUAAACGGCACAUGAAAUCCGAUCGAUUGUCAAGGUUGCUCCCAAUGAUGGUCCUGACGGGCGUCUUGAAAAGAGCACAGUGCUUAGCACUCUUAAUGCCUGUCCUGUUACCGGCCAUCCACAUACUGGUGUUAGACAAGUUUUGGAGCGACUUCAACGUUAAUGUCAAUAAGGAACACUGUACGUGUUCGUGUUGGGACACCGUGUUCAAAGGACCAUACGAAGCAGGUGUCGCUAAGUAUAAACACAUGUACUUCAACGCUACAUACAACACAUUCAAAAUAUGGGUGAUCACGAUGGUGUGUGCAAUCAUACUGUACGAAUGCACCAAAAACAUUGUAAGCAUUUGUUUUGACAGGCAACUGCGUUAUAAAAUGGUGUUACUGUUUAUUUUAUCAAUGUUUUCGCACUACUAUUCUUGGUGGUCGUUUGUAAACUAUUGGAAUGAUGACUUCUAUUCGCAAUGGAAUCAUCAAAUAUUCUUCACUAUCACCGAACUCUACUCUACUUGCAUUGUGUAUAAAAUAUGCGAUCGCAGAAAAGAAAUAAAUAAAGGACACUUGUUUUCCAUUAUUGCCGUGGGCUUGAUGCAUAUGUUAGCUGCUGGCUUUGAUCAGUUUGUUAUAAAUGUGAUUGGAGGACAUGGAUACGCACAUCAAUGUAAUUAUCAAUGUAUCAACUUAGUAUACUAUCAAGUAUGAUUCACACUAGUCAGACACAUACUAUAACAUUUUGCGAAAUAUUUCAAUACUUGUUUAAGUAUAAUAAUUCAUUUUAACAUGCUAAAUGAGCAUUCAUUCAGUAACAAAUCAACAGUCCGUCCAGCAUUUCAGGCAAAAAUGUUUUGUCGGGACAUCCUGUGUCUGUAUUGGAACAAUACAUGAUAAUACAAUACCAACAGUAUGGUGUUCUGAAUUGUGAUAAGAGAUCUCUUCUUAAUGAUACCAGAUAUACUAAGUAUCAUUAUACCAUUAUGGGAAUUAAAAGACCGAAGGUUAACUAUCAAAAGC